UUAAGUAUCCGUUUAUUAUUUAACUGGCAAGUCCUUUAGGUUUUCAGCUGAUGUAUUUUCCAGUGGCGGCUGGUCCRUAGGGGGCGCUGGGGCGCCACCCUCCCUGACAAGAAGAAGAAGAAAAAUGUAAAAUAUACCUUUAUAAAUCCAGUUAUAAAUGUUGGUUUUACUCACUAGUGUAUGCCYACAUGUAAUAUGAAUUAUAUCAACUAUAUUCUCCACCUAUUGACAUUUAUUCACCAGYAAAUUUCCACAAACUGGUUUMGUUUCUGUCAUGGGGCGAUAGACAGAGAGCCCAAGGAGUGCAGUCUUUUAACCAAUCACAAACAGUUGCUAGGCAGAUUAAAAAAAUUAAUUGGCCAAUCAGUGUUGCGAAAUUUUAUGGUCCUGGGACUCUGCAGAUUUUGACCCAGCAGAAAAGUUUAGAAAAAAACAAAUAGCUCAUCAUAGCGCCGCAGGUCGCUAGACGGAGUUUGGGGACCCUUUGGAGAAAUGGUGGAGCUAAAAACAACUCAGCUAAGUGUCUUAAAACAAAAUCUUUUCUGAAGUAGAAGGGCUKAUCAGCCGGACAUGAAAGAGACAAAGACAGAGGGAGAAUUUACGCUUUUCCAAGACCUGGAUUAAGCUAACUGCUUGUAGCAUGGCUACUGCUUUGCUUUGACUGCCUCAUUUUUCAAGCAUCAAGAUCUGUCCCAACAUGCAUUAAGACAGGUUUGUGACACCAUCUUAAGCCAUUCACAAAACCUGAUCAGGGCUACACUGCUGCAGGCAGACAGAUUCCUGCAGGACCACUGCCAGUUCUUUGAAGCAGCUGAAGCCCACCAUAGAGGCUUACCCAAUGCUGAACAGGACCACAAAGUCUCGUCUACAACCUGGAUGAUUUCAGGAGCUGCAGGGGUGCUGUGGCUCUGUACCAGCAACACUGAAGAGAAUCCAGACUUUCCUCAGGUACAUCACAUCUCACUGCACUGACCAUACUCUAUAGAGAAGAAUCUUGUUAAAACAUCCCUGAUUUAACCAGUCAUGAAGACAUUUCCUUUAUAGUAAAAGAAGAGCAAACUUUAUGUACAAAAAAUAAACCACUACAUGAUAUUGUAAUACCAUUUUUUGAUGCUUUUAAAUUAUUUCAGUUUAUUUAAUAAAUACACUGACGUGAAA